UUUUGUAAGAUAAAUAUGAAUAUGAUAAGUAUUAAGAUUAUGUUUCGAACAAAUAACCCGAUUAGAAUUGUAAGUCGAGUAUUCCGACUAUAAGCUAUAUAAUAAUCAUUUUAUUUUAAGAUUUCAAUAUUAGGAUUCACAAUUAUCAUGCCAAAUUUUGUUUGGCAUUUACUCGAAAUUUAAAGAUAGGAACGCGAAUCUUAGCAAGAAAAUUAGUAAACAUAAAGUUAAAUUUUUUAUUUUAAUUUAUGUCUAUAUUUUUUAAUUUUUAUUUUGUUGCCGUUGUGUCAGAAUAGUAUUAAAAUUAUGAUUGAUUGUAAAUUCAAAGUAAGGGGGUACGCCACUAAUCAUAGAGUAUAUAGAUGUGCCAGUUAAUACAAAGAAAAUGCCACAACAGAAUUUAAGCCUAUUCUACUGUACGUUCGACAUCGGCUGCAGUUAGGCCUUACACAGUGGCUUGUUUUUUCCGAAAGCUCGUGUCAAACAUGGGAACAUUUUUUUGUUACACUUCAAUUAAGAUUAAGUAGGCCGUCGCUCAAGUUGUCAUGCCUUUUACUGGAAAUAAUCAGUCGGAGCUCAACGUUUGCACAGGACAGAACCUCAAUUCUUUCGAAAAUUAAAGCUUUCCUAAGUAAUAGAAAAAACUUUUCAGUCUCUGUUUCUUAAUAGCCAAUUCCAAUUGUUUUUUAAUAAGGUUGUGGUAAUCUAAAGCUUAAUUAGUUGAACUUGGCAGAUAAUAAAAAUAUUUCAGGACCUGUAUGCAAAAUAUUGUAAAAUAUACAUCCAACAUUCACUAAAAGGAAAAAGGUUCUUCAUCUAUUUUUUUGACGGCUUUCAUUCGGAAGACUUGCUAUUAAUGCAAUUAUAACUAUGAAUACCUCUUGCUGCUAUAUAAAAUUAGAUGCCGAGGAUAUUUUAUUUUGAGGGAGGUUUUCCUGGGAGGCUAUUUUUAAAUUUCAAACAGAAAUUCUCCCACACACUAUUGCACACUGGACACUGGCAAAUUGUAGCAAAUUGGAAUGAUAUGGAAAUUCUAUCAGAACAAAGUUGGAAUGAUUUCCGUGCCAGCCUCAAAUAUUAUCGUUGUCUUUAUAACUCCCCAGAAAGGAAUGUUUGAAGAUAUUUAAGGAAAGUGUUCUGCUUUUGUACCGCUACAGUACAAAAGAAGCAGCCAGCAACGAAGAAAACGUAUAGCUUCGCAUAUAAAAUGUCUUUCUACCAACUUAAUUUACAAAAUAAAUACAA